rnacentral:rRNA from 1 species
CGUGUAGGCGGUAUGGUAAGUUGGACGUGAAAGCUCCUGGCUCAACUGGGAGAGGUCGUUCAAAACUGCCACACUUGAGGACGGUAGAGGAGAGUGGAAUUCCGGGUGUAGUGGUGAAAUGCGUAGAUAUCCGGAGGAACACCAGUGGCGAAGGCGGCUCUCUGGGCCGAUCCUGACGCUAAGACGCGAAAGCUAGGGUAGCAAACAGGAUUAGAUACCCUGGUAGUCC